CGGUAGCACAGAGAGCUUGCUCUCGGGUGACAAGCGGCGGACGGGUGAGUAAUGUCUGGGAAACUGCCUGAUGGAGGGGGAUAACUACUGGAAACGGUAGCUAAUACCGCAUAACGUCGCAAGACCAAAGUGGGGGACCUUCGGGCCUCAUGCCAUCAGAUGUGCCCAGAUGGGAUUAGCUAGUAGGUGGGGUAAUGGCUCACCUAGGCGACGAUCCCUAGCUGGUCUGAGAGGAUGACCAGCCACACUGGAACUGAGACACGGUCCAGACUCCUACGGGAGGCAGCAGUGGGGAAUAUUGCACAAUGGGCGCAAGCCUGAUGCAGCCAUGCCGCGUGUAUGAAGAAGGCCUUCGGGUUGUAAAGUACUUUCAGCGAGGAGGAAGGCGUUAAGGUUAAUAACCUUGGCGAUUGACGUUACUCGCAGAAGAAGCACCGGCUAACUCCGUGCCAGCAGCCGCGGUAAUACGGAGGGUGCAAUCGUUAAUCGGAAUUACUGGGCGUAAAGCGCACGCAGGCGGUCUGUUAAGUCAGAUGUGAAAUCCCCGGGCUCAACCUGGGAACUGCAUUUGAAACUGGCAGGCUUGAGUCUUGUAGAGGGGGGUAGAAUUCCAGGUGUAGCGGUGAAAUGCGUAGAGAUCUGGAGGAAUACCGGUGGCGAAGGCGGCCCCCUGGACAAAGACUGACGCUCAGGUGCGAAAGCGU
rnacentral:rRNA from 1 species